rnacentral:lncRNA from 1 species
ACCAAUAUCAAUCAAAACAUAGGCAAGAUGGUUACAGAUAGUGUACAUACCCUGUACCACAUCCGGGUUGGCUUUUGCAUCCUGCUAAGUGAGAUUAUAAGCCCUGCCUUGGAUAGGAGGCCUGACCUGGUUCUGGUUUCUCGGGCACUCCCUUGCACAAUGUUGGACGCUAUCAUAUAUGCGACAGGUGUUGUUGAGGCAAUAGCAAGGUUGGUCCCCAUGAUCCUUGCCACAAUGCUGA